CAUCACCUGCAGUGUUCGUAUUCGGGACCUUUGUUUUGAACCGUAUGUGUUUUAAAGGGAGACAGAUUCCAUCUCGUGCUGGCAAGCCCUCUUGAAGGGAAGUCAAAUACCGACAUGCUAGUCGCCCACCUGCGAGAGCGGGUUCAUAAAACACCCGUUCCAUACGGCACAUGCGGGUGCUGA
rnacentral:other from 1 species